ensembl:snRNA U6 U6 spliceosomal RNA
CUCACUUUGGUAGGAGAUAUACUAAAAUUGCAACGAUAGAGAGAUUACCACAGCCCCUGCCCAAGGAUGACAUGCAAAUUCAUGAAGCGUUCCAUAUCUUU